AUUGAACGCUGGCGGCAGGCCUAACACAUGCAAGUCGAACGAGUGGCGGACGGGUGAGUAAUGUCUGGGAAACUGCCUGAUGGAGGGGGAUAACUACUGGAAACGGUAGCUAAUACCGCAUACCAUCGGAUGUGCCCAGAUGGGAUUAGCUAGUAGGUGGGGUAAAGGCGCACCUAGGCGACUAUCCCUAGCUGGUCUGAGAGGAUGACCAGCCAAACUGGGACUAGGACACGGUCCAGACUACUACGGGAGGCAGCAGUAGGGAGUAUAGCACAAUGGGGGCAAGCCUGAUACAGCCAUGCCGCGUGUAUGAAGAAGGCCUUCGGGUUGUAAAGUACUUUCAGCGGGGAGGCGUUACCCGCAGAAGAAGCACCGGCUAACUCCGUGCCAGCAGCCGCGGUAAUUC
rnacentral:rRNA from 1 species